rnacentral:rRNA from 1 species
GGGUUGUGAGGUUAAGCGACUAAGCGUACACGGUGGAUGCCCUGGCAGUCAGAGGCGAUGAAGGACGUGCUAAUCUGCGAUAAGCGCCGGUAAGGUGAUAUGAACCGUUAUAACCGGCGAUUUCCGAAUGGGGAAACCCAGUGUGACUCGUCACACUAUCAUUAACUGAAUCCAUAGGUUAAUGAGGCGAACCGGGGGAACUGAAACAUCUAAGUACCCCGAGGAAAAGAAAUCAACCGAGAUUCCCCCAGUAGCGGCGAGCGAACGGGGAGGAGCCCAGAGCCUGAAUCAGCAUGUGUGUUAGUGGAAGCGUCUGGAAAGGCGCGCGAUACAGGGUGACAGCCCCGUACACAAAAGCGCAUGUGCUGUGAGCUCGAUGAGUAGGGCGGGACACGUGGUAUCCUGUCUGAAUAUGGGGGGACCAUCCUCCAAGGCUAAAUACUCCUGACUGACCGAUAGUGAACCAGUACCGUGAGGGAAAGGCGAAAAGAACCCCGGCGAGGGGAGUGAAAAAGAACCUGAAACCGUGUACGUACAAGCAGUGGGAGCACCCUUUUG